UGCCACACCGCGCGCGCAGCCACGCCCGAGCCUGAGCCGAUUUGCGCCUCUGUCCGACCCCGUGCUCCCCAGGGACACCACACGCGAGGAAAAGCCCUAGGGGAAACCUUCCGAAGCCCAUUCCCCAUCGCCCCUCGUCCACACGCGCCUGUCGGGCGUUUUGGAUCUCGCAGAGGAGGUCCAUCGACCACCGCUGUUCGCCGAUGUUUCCGCCACCCAGAGGGAGAGGAACAAGCCGGCCGACUUCACCUGAGUUCAUCGGAGUUCACGUCUUCUCCACCGCCGCUUGAGGACGCCCCGCCACCGUUGAGCACCACCACCGCCUCCGCCACUCACCUCCGCACCCGUCCGUCACCUCGCCUUCGCCGGAGACCCACCAGAGGAGCGUUGCCGCCAACGCCCAAGACCGCCAUCGUUUUCCUCUGUUUUGGAUUGUCCGGAGUGCGACGCGAGCUAUUGUCAGGAGUGUGACUUUCUGAACCAGAACCAAGGCAAGUUACAUGUUGAUCAUCCUUUACCUAUUGUUUUCUAUGCAUGUAGUUAUAUCACACUAUGAAUAUAUGCAUGUAUAGGAAUACUAUAUUAUUUUUGCUAUGCUGAUGAGCUAUCUU